rnacentral:rRNA from 1 species
UACGUAGGUGGCAAGCGUUGUCCGGAUUUAUUGGGUUUAAAGGGUGCGUAGGUGGUCUAUUAAGUCAGUGCUGAAAUAUCCCGGCUUAACCGGGAGGGUGGCAUUGAUACUGAUGGACUUGAGUAAAGUUGAGGUGGGCGGAAUUGACGGUGUAGCGGUGAAAUGCUUAGAUAUCGUCAAGAACACCUAUUGCGAAGGCAGCUCACUAAGCUUUAACUGACACUGAGGCACGAAAGUGUGGGGAUAAACAGG